CGAACGGGUGAGUAAUACAUCGGAACGUGCCCAGUCUGGGGGAUAACUACUCGAAAGAGUAGCUAAUACCGCAUACGAUCUGAGGAUGAAANCGGGGGACCUUCGGGCCUCGCGCGAUUGGAGCGGCCGAUGGCAGAUUAGGUAGUUGGUGGGAUAAAAGCUUACCAAGCCGACGAUCUGUAGCUGGUCUGAGAGGACGACCAGCCACACUGGGACUGAGACACGGCCCAGACUCCUACGGGAGGCAGCAGCC
rnacentral:rRNA from 1 species